UUGACCUCGGAUCAGGUAGGAAUACCCGCUGAACUUAAGCAUAUCAAUAAGCGGAGGAAAAGAAACCAACAGGGAUUGCCCUAGUAACGGCGAGUGAAGCGGCAACAGCUCAAAUUUGAAAUCUGGCUUUCGGGUCCGAGUUGUAAUUUGUAGAGGAUGCUUUUGGUUAGGUACCUUCCGAGUUCCUUGGAACAGGACGCCUUAGAGGGUGAGAGCCCCGUACGGUUGGAUGCCGAGCCUCUGUAAAGCUCCUUCGACGAGUCGAGUAGUUUGGGAAUGCUGCUCUAAAUGGGAGGUAAAUUUCUUCUAAAGCUAAAUACCGGCCAGAGACCGAUAGCGCACAAGUAGAGUGAUCGAAAGAUGAAAAGCACUUUGAAAAGAGGGUUAAAUAGUACGUGAAAUUGUUGAAAGGGAAGGGCUUGUGACCAGACCUUUGCCUUGCGGAUCAUCCGGUGUUCUCACCGGUGCACUCCGCUUGGUUGAGGCCAGCAUCAGUUCUGGCGGCGGGAUAAAGACUUCAGGAAUGUGACUCCCCCGGGAGUGUUAUAGCCUGUUGUGUAAUACCGCCACUGGGACUGAGGACCGCGCUUCGGCUAGGAUGCUGGCA
rnacentral:rRNA from 1 species